rnacentral:rRNA from 1 species
UGGGGAAUUUUGGACAAUGGGCGAAAGCCUGAUCCAGCAAUGCCGCGUGUGUGAAGAAGGCCUUCGGGUUGUAAAGCACUUUUGUCCGGAAAGAAAUCCUUGGCUCUAAUACAGUCGGGGGAUGACGGUACCGGAAGAAUAAGCACCGGCUAACUACGUGCCAGCAGCCGCGGUAAUACGUAGGGUGCAAGCGUUAAUCGGAAUUACUGGGCGUAAGCGUGCGCAGGCGGUUUGCUAAGACCGAUGUGAAAUCCCCGGGCUCAACCUGGGAACUGCAUUGGUGACUGGCAGGCUAGAGUAUGGCAGAGGGGGGUAGAAUUCCACGUGUAGCAGUGAAAUGCGUAGAGAUGUGGAGGAAUACCGAUGGCGAAGGCAGCCCCCUGGGCCAAUACUGACGCUCAUGCACGAAAGCGUGGGGAGCAAACAGGAUUAGAUACCCUGGUAGUCCACGCCCUAAACGAUGUCAACUAGUUGUUGGGGAUUCAUUUCCUUAGUAACGUAGCUAACGCGUGAAGUUGACCGCCUGGGGAGUACGGUCGCAAGAUUAAAACUC